AUUGAACGCUGGCGGUAUGCCUAACACAUGCAAGUCGAACGGUAACACGUUAUCAGCUGGCUCUUACUGGUGGCCAGUUGCGGACUACUUAGGAAUAUGCCCGAAUCUACUUUAUCAUGAGGCAUAACGUUUGGUAAUAUACCCUACUACCUCCUACUGCCACCGGGUGAUCUCCGGACCUCUUCCGGCCUUUCCCGCUUUAAUGAGCCGAUGUCGUUUUUGGUAGUUGGCGGGGUAAAGGCCCACCAAGGCGACGAUCCGUAGCUGGUCUGAGAGGAUGAUCAGCCACACUGGAACUGAGACACGGCCCAGACUCCUACGGGAGGCAGCAGUGGGGAAUAUUGGACAAUGGGCGAAAGCCUGAUCCAGCCAGACCGAGUGGGGGAUGAAGGCCUUCGGGUUGUAAAGACCUUUUGUUGGGAAAGAAAAGCAGCAGGUUAAUAAAGAGCGGUUAUGACGGUACCGAAAGAAUAAGCACCGGCUAACUACGUG
rnacentral:rRNA from 1 species